rnacentral:rRNA from 1 species
GACGAACGCUGGCGGCGUGCUUAACACAUGCAAGUCGAACGGAAAGGCCCUGCUUUUGUGGGGUGCUCGAGUGGCGAACGGGUGAGUAACACGUGAGUAACCUGCCCUUGACUUUGGGAUAACUUCAGGAAACUGGGGCUAAUACCGGAUAGGAGCUCCUGCUGCAUGGUGGGGGUUGGAAAGUUUCGGCGGUUGGGGAUGGACUCGCGGCUUAUCAGCUUGUUGGUGGGGUAGUGGCUUACCAAGGCUUUGACGGGUAGCCGGCCUGAGAGGGUGACCGGCCACAUUGGGACUGAGAUACGGCCCAGACUCCUACGGGAGGCAGCAGUGGGGAAUAUUGCACAAUGGGCGGAAGCCUGAUGCAGCAACGCCGCGUGCGGGAUGACGGCCUUCGGGUUGUAAACCGCUUUCGCCUGUGACGAAGCGUGAGUGACGGUAAUGGGUAAAGAAGCACCGGCUAACCACGU